rnacentral:rRNA from 1 species
AGCGAACGUUAGCGGCGGGCCUAACACAUGCAAGUCGAGCGAGAAAGGGGCUUCGGCCCCGAGUAAAGCGGCGGACGGGUGAGGAACACGUAGGUAACCUGCCCUUCGGUGGAGGACAACGGUCCGAAAGGACCGCUAAUACUGCAUUCGUUCCCCGGGACCCCGGUCCUGGGGAGGAAAGCCUCGCAAGGGGCGCCGGAGGAGGGGCCUGCGUCGCAUCAGCUAGUUGGUGGGGUAACGGCCUACCAAGGCGAAGACGCGUAGCUGGUCUGAGAGGAUGAUCAGCCACAAUGGGACUGAGACACGGUCCAGACUCCUACGGGAGGCAGCAGUGGGGAAUAUUGGACAAUGGGCGAAAGCCUGAUCCAGCCACGCCGCGUGAGUGAUGAAGGCCUUCGGGUCGUAAAGCUCUGUCAGAGGGGAAGAACCUCCUGGGGGAUAAUAACCCUCAGGCCUGACGGUACCCUCAAAGGAAGCACCGGCUAACUCCGUGCCAGCCGCCGCCGUAACAC